CCUACGGGAGGCAGCAGUGGGGAAUAUUGGUCAAUGGGCGAGAGCCUGAACCAGCCAAGUCGCGUGAGGGAGUACUGCCCUAUGGGUUGUAAACCUCUUUUGUCGGGGAGCAAAAGCCGGACGUGUCCGGCUGUGAGAGUACCCGAAGAAAAAGCAUCGGCUAACUCCGUGCCAGCAGCCGCGGUAAUACGGAGGAUGCGAGCGUUAUCCGGAUUUAUUGGGUUUAAAGGGUGCGCAGGCGGAUUUUUAAGUCAGCGGUAAAAUCGUGGGGCUCAACCCCAUCCAGCCGUUGAAACUGGGGAUCUAGAGUGUGCGAGAGGUAUGCGGAAUGCGUGGUGUAGCGGUGAAAUGCAUAGAUAUCACGCAGAACCCCGAUUGCGAAGGCAGCAUACCGGUGCACAACUGACGCUCAGGCACGAAAGCGUGGGUAUCGAACAGGAUUAGAUACCCCGGUAGUC
rnacentral:rRNA from 1 species